AGUUCUUAAUCAGUUCUUAGAAAACUCACUUGAAAGCACUUCGACUUUUGAUUGUGCAAGUUAGACUAGGCAGUCAAAGAUCUACAAGAUGAUGCCUUACUAUCUCGAAGGAUUGGCUGUGAUCCGCUUGACAGUAAGUAGUAGCUUUGUUACAUGAAGUACAGUAGACUCUCGCUCUCUGAAGUACGGCCACCUCGAUAUACCGGCCAUUUGGUUUGGCACGGAAUAUGUUUCCUGCACAAAACUCACCCUGAAGUACGGCUAUUCCGUUUACCGGCCAGUGCCCCAAAUAACGUUUUCAAUGUAAUUUUAUAUGGGUGUGGUUUAGUAAAUAAAUUGGAUUACACUUAAAUAGAGAGCACACUUAAAUAGAUUAAAUAGAGAGCAGAAUGAUGUAGAGAGCAGAAUGAUGUCACUAUCCCGAGACAAGAACUGCAAAUCAUUGAUUAGAGUCGAGGUAAGGUCGUUUUUAAGCCGCGGCUAAUUAUCUGAAGUACGGCCACCUCGCCAAGCUGCAUGGUCCCAAGGGUGGCCGGAUUAACGAGAGUCUACUGCUGUAGAGUUUAUAGUGCUGAGAAGCGUUGCUUAGCCUUUUCUGUGCAGCUACACAAGAAACAGUGGCAGUGGUAAAAAGGUAUCUAGUGCUAAGCGGUGUGACUGGAUCCAAUAAUCCGGAGGUGGGGCCACGUAUGUACAGUGAACAGUGGCAGUAGCAGCGAGAUAUAAAGUGUCUGAUGUCUGUGGCGAUACCUAUGCACUGCCACUGGGAGUACCUUGGAGUCGCCUCUGUCAAUAGUAGAAUACACAGUCGAGUAGAAUACACAGUCGCCUCUGUCAAGAGUAGAAUACACGGUUAGACACACGCACACAUACCGUACACACACACAAACACACUCAAACACACACACACCUCAAACACACA